CUUCGCUCUCGGAGGAAGAAGAGGACGGAGAGACAAGAACAACCUUACCCAUUGCCGGAAAAAUCGAUAAAGAAUCGAGAGUACAAAAUAAUUCGCAGAGGAGAGAGCGAGAGCUAC
rnacentral:sRNA from 1 species